GAUGAACGCUAGCGGCAGGCUUAAUACAUGCAAGUCGUGGGGCAGCAUGAGUAGCAAUACUUGAUGGCGACCGGCAAACGGGUGAGGAACACGUACACAACCUUCCUUCAAGCGGGGAAUAGCCCAGAGAAAUUUGGAUUAAUACCCCAUAAUAUAUUUGAUAAGGCAUCUUAUUAAUAUUAAAGCUUCGGCACUUGAUGAUGGGUGUGCGGCUGAUUAGAUAGUUGGCGGGGUAACGGCCCACCAAGUCUACGAUCAGUAGCUGAUGUGAGAGCAUGAUCAGCCACACGGGCACUGAGACACGGGCCCGACUCCUACGGGAGGCAGCAGUAAGGAAUAUUGGACAAUGGACGAAAGUCUGAUCCAGCCAUGCCGCGUGAAAGGAUUAAAGGGUCCUCUGGAUUGUAAACUCUUUAUAUGGGACGAAAAAGGGCAUUCUUGUUCACUUGACGGUACCCUAUGAAUAAGC
rnacentral:rRNA from 1 species